rnacentral:rRNA from 1 species
AACGAACGCUGGCGGCGUGCCUAACACAUGCAAGUCGAGCGCGAAAAGGGCAACCUGAGUAGAGCGGCGCACGGGUGCGUAACACGUGGGCAAUCUGCCUUAGAGUCGAGGAUAACCUUCCGAAAGGUUGGCUAAUACUCGGUAAGCUUACGGUGUCUUCGGACGCUGUGGGAAAAGUAGGCCUCUGUUUACAAGCUUACGCUCUGAGAUGAGCCGGCGGCCCAUCAGCUAGUUGGCGGUGUAACGGACCACCAAGGCAACGAGGGGUAGCUGGUCUGAGAGGACGAUCAGCCACACUGGAACUGAGACACGGUCCAGACUCCUACGGGAGGCAGCAGUGGGGAAUUUUCCACAAUGGGCGAAAGCCUGAUGGAGCAACGCAGCGUGUGUGAUGAAGGUUUUCGGAUCGUAAAGCACUUUCGACCGGGACGAAAAACCUCUGGCUAACAUCCAGGGGCCUGACGGUACCGGGAGAAGAAGCACCGGCUAACUCUGUGCCAGCAGCCGCCGUAA